rnacentral:rRNA from 1 species
AGUGAACGCUGGCGGUAGGCCUAACACAUGCAAGUCGAACGGCAGCACAGUAAGAGCUUGCUCUUACGGGUGGCGAGUGGCGGACGGGUGAGGAAUACAUCGGAAUCUACUUUUUCGUGGGGGAUAACGUAGGGAAACUUACGCUAAUACCGCAUACGACCUACGGGUGAAAGCAGUGGAUCUUCGGACCUUGCGCGACUGAAUGAGCCGAUGUCGGAUUAGCUAGUUGGCGGGGUAAAGGCCCACCAAGGCGACGAUCCGUAGCUGGUCUGAGAGGAUGAUCAGCCACACUGGAACUGAGACACGGUCCAGACUCCUACGGGAGGCAGCAGUGGGGAAUAUUGGACAAUGGGCGCAAGCCUGAUCCAGCCAUACCGCGUGGGUGAAGAAGGCCUUCGGGUUGUAAAGCCCUUUUGUUGGGAAAGAAAAGCAGCAGGUUAAUACCCCGCUGUUCUGACGGUACCCAAAGAAUAAGCACCGGCUAACUUCGUG